UACGAAGGGGGCUAGCGUUGCUCGGAAUCACUGGGCGUAAAGCGCACGUAGGUGGCUUUUUAAGUCAGGGGUGAAAUCCUGGAGCUCAACUCCAGAACUGCCUUUGAUACUGGCAAUCUCGAGUCCGGGAGAGGUGAGUGGAACUGCGAGUGUAGAGGUGAAAUUCGUAGAUAUUGGGAAGAACACCGGUGGCGAAGGCGGCUCACUGGCCAGUUUCUGACGCUGUAGCGCGAAAGCGUGGGGAUCAAACAGG
rnacentral:rRNA from 1 species